rnacentral:lncRNA from 1 species
UUUAUCUUGCCAAGGAGGUACAACUUUAUCUGAGAUGUUUGUCUCUGAUUCUGUAAUUUCUUUCUAGUAUCUUUUUAAUAAAGUUUCUGAAUUCCUAUAAAAAAAUGGUAAAUCUAUUUUUGAGGUGGAUUUUUGGACUUAAUUUUUAAGGACAUAUAAUCUCUGAUAUGGGAAACAUGAAUAUGAAAAAAAAAGUAAAUUUUUAAAACUAAAAGUAACAAUUCUAGUAAGAAAACAUUCGACCAUUAGUUUCCAUUGUUUUCAAAUGCAACACCUACUUGCAUCUAUCUUUAAAAUGGAUGCUUUACACGUUUUGGACAGCAUAUGUAGUCAUGCAGUUCAGCCUGCAUGAAACAAUUUUCAUUUCUUAAAUCAUCAAUCCAAACUGAAUUUGGUGGUAUUGUUAACUGCUUAUAUAAAUUGUUUGAAAACUACCUUGUGUUUUUAUGAUUUAUUUGGGUCAUUUUCUAGAGCACGUGGCGUGUGACCGCAUGGAUGUCAAGCUUUACGAGUUUGUGUCGGUGAGGGACCGCUGUUGAGGCAUGACGCGGAACUAUCAAACAGAAGGUGGACAUGGGAAACGAUUUGAUUUCAGAAUGCACGGAACUAUCAUACAGAAGGUGGACAUGGGAAACGAUUUGAUUUCAGAAUGCACGGAACUAUCAUACAGAAGGUGGACAUGGGAAACGAUUUGAUUUCAGAAUGCUAAAAAAUAUGUCUAUAGUUUAAUAUCGGAUGCCCGCUAAAAAUAAGGGCAUUUUGACGUCGGAU